rnacentral:lncRNA from 1 species
CAGAGUAGAUAGCUUUCCAGGGAAGACUUUGAAGUGGCAAGAGAUUGCAAUGUACUUCAAUAGCAAGAGGUAAAAGAAUUCAGCUGGGAAACGACUAAAAAUGAUGGAUCCAAUGUCUAAAACUUUCAAUAGUUUAAAUGCCUUAGGGAUGAAUGAGAUAUGCUCUUGAGGUAACUGAAUUUGUUCCUUGGCAAAGCUCAGAAAUGAUCGAACAUAAUCACCGGUAGGUUUUACUUUAAUAUGCUCUAGGUUAUGGGGAUGAAUGCAAAGGCGACGGGCAUUGUGAGAAGAAGAGUAAGGUGCAGAGGUAGAUUCAUCAAACCUUUUUAUUUCUCGGAAAAUAUUUUCUUCCACAGCCUGUUUCUUGCAAAAAUCUUGCAACAUGUUGUUCAUACGACAUGUUUUAAUUCGGCCAUCUGAUCUCUUCUGCCCGAUCAUCACUAAGCUCCGAUCGACCAAUUCCUGUAGGUAAAACUCUGCCACAUCCUCCAUGUUCAUGAAUCUUUGGUGCUCUAUGAACCCUUCAGAAAUCCACAAGCGGAUUAACUUCCAUGCUGGGAUUUCAAAGUAUUCAGGAAAAACCCCAAAAUAGAGAAAGCAUGGCUUCAAGUUGUAGGGCAAGUGGUUGUAACUCCUCCUAAUCACAUCAUUGCCUAGUUCAUCAUUCUUGGCAACAUAAUCAUGCACAUUUUCAGCCACACUCAUCCACCAAUGUGUAGCUUUGCUGUUAUUCCGGAGUAUCCCAGCAACUACUACAAUUGCUAGAGGUAAUCCAGCGCAUCUAUCCAGGAUCUUGGCCUCGUAUGCCUGUAGUUCUUCGGGGCAAUUAUUCCCAUCAAAAACUUUAUAUCGGAGCAGCUCCCUACUUUCUUCUGGUGACAGGAAUCCCAAGUAAUAGGGUUCAUUUUUUGUAUUGGCAUAAUGAGCUACAGCUACAUUUCGAGUAGUUAUUAACACUCUGCUACCCUUCUUGUUGUCAGGAAAAGCAGACUUCAAUUUGUCCCAUGCAUCAUUGGACCAUAGAUCAUCUAUCACGAUCAAAUACUUAUAUUUUAGACGCUGUCGCACUUCAUCAGCUAAUGCAUCAUCUGACAUCCUAUUCAUUGCUUCAUCGAUACGAGUAAAUGAAGUGAGAAUACUCAGGAAGACAUCUUUUCUCUCCCAAUCUUGAGAAACAUGAACGAAUACUUUUGUAAAGAAUUCAUAGUCAAUCAUUGGGUCACUAAGGACCUUUCUGGCUAAUGUUGUUUUGCCGAUCCCAGGCAUCCCAACGAUUGAGAUUACCUCCAAUUGGUCUGAUUGUCGCUGCGAUCUACCUGUGAGAAGUUCGAUUACAUCCUUGGCCGAAUCCACGAAGCCAAUCACUUUGUCUGCCCCGAACAAAGGAGUCUGUUGCCAACAGACAGAAAAUUAUAAGACAUUGAAAGCUGAAAGCACAGAAGAAAAUGACCAACGAUAAAAAACUAUACAGCAAACUAGGGACUCACAAGUGCAUUUUCAAGAAAUGGGAAACUAAGUCUAGUUAUAAAAAAAUUCUUGGCAAUUUUGACAUGCUACACCCAUGUCAGUGGUCAUAAACCAGCAAGCUGACACAUAAGUUGCAAAACUGCUGGUAAAUCAUAAAAGUUUUCAAUAGCCAAAAUCACCUAACUCUAUCAUACAACACAUUCCUGCUGGGCUGUUGAACCCUUUCUCCUAAAUAAAGUAGUGAAUGAUGCACCAAAAGGGAUGCAUCCUAAAACGUCGACCAAAUGUAAUGUUUUAGUCCCAUUAUUUCUUUGUUCUUAUGUAAUACAGAAACCAUAUAAUGUAAGGCAUGGUCCGUCAAUGUCUACUUAGACAAAAUUUAUACCAGGAAUUAUAUGUUGACACCAAUGAAAGAUAAAAUUGAGUUUAAGACGAUGAUUUGAAAAAAAAAAUAUUAAACAACAAACUAGUUUGAUGAGAGAAGAAUGAGUAAAUUCCAUAAGCAGAAUCUUUAUUAGUUGAUGCUGGCAUAAAAUUGCUUUCAAUCAAGGAGAUAUCAUUGCACUAACAGCCCUUCAUAUCACAUCAAUCAUAUUACUGGUCUUACCUCAAAUUAAUCAUACCAGUAUAUUGCCUAUCUAUGUGAUCAAAUUGAUCUAUAACCAUUUUAAAGCUGAGGGAGACAAAAUACAGUCGCAUUAUUAUGUAGUGCUGGUAUAGGAAGGUGGCCUUUUACCUGUUUCUUGGUUCUCAUAUAGGAGAUCUCAUCAAAUUGCAAGGCAUCAAGGCCAAUGCUCGGCAAAUCGCUUCGUUGAAUGUUCUGUACUUGCGCACGUACUUGUGCAAUCCGUUUCCCCAAACUGCGAAGCACAGACGCGCUCUCAGUCGUGUGAAAAGCUCUGGCAAGAAAGCCUCUGUGUCUUUGAUUAGACGCAUGAAGUAUGUAUGUGUCAAUUGCAUUUUCAGCUUCAAAAACAACGUCCCUGAUUUCGUUCUCCAAGUUCUUGAUGGCUCCCUUGUCCUUCUGCCAUUCAGGGUAAUGCUUGAUAGAGGCUUUCAACACAGCAAGAUCAUCGCACAAGCCCUUGAGGUCAUUGCUCAUGGCUCUUCCGAUUAAAUCAGUGUUGUAUGAAAUUGUCUCCAUCAUGUUGCCUAAGAGAAUUGCUAAAGCAGGAAUAUCAGCCAUCGU